rnacentral:misc_RNA from 1 species
UCACUACUUGCGUAGGCAGUUUUCUUAGAGUCCCCAUCAUGACAUGCUGGCAACUAAGAAUAGGGGUUGCGCUCGUUGCAGGACUUAACCUAACACCUCACGGCACGAGCUGACGACAACCAUGCAGCACCUCGUAGUCAGUUCCGAAGAAAUAAAUGCUUUCACACUUAGUCCAACUACGUUCGAGCCCAGGUAAGGUUCCUCGCGUAUCAUCGAAUUAAACCACAUGCUCCUCCGCUUGUGCGGGCCCCCGUCAAUUCCUUUGAGUUUCAAUCUUGCGAUCGUACUCCCCAGGUGGAUUACUUAUCACUUUCGCUUAGCCGCUGACUGUGUAUCGCCAACAGCGAGUAAUCAUCGUUUACGGCGUGGACUAC